GGUGCCGUGGUCUAGUGGUAUGACGUCACGUUGUGGAAGUGAGCCUUGUGUUCGCCAAGCAACUCCGUGUUAGCCCCGGUUCGAUUCCGGGCGGCGCCA